GUACUGUACUCCAGUACUGUACUCCAGUACUGGUAUUUUGCUCCAGUCCACAUGUUGAGGUACUGGUACUGUAUUCCAGUCCAC